AGAUACCUAUUGUAAUAACUGAAGUUCUGCAUAUUGGCAUUAUCCAAAGUUAUUUUGUGAGAAUACCUGUUUGACGUAAAUUACCAAAUUAUAAUUCCCUAUACCUAGUAUAAAAAUAUAAUAACAAUAUAGACACAACUGUGGGGAAUGCAAUUUCAAUCGAUCAUCCCUAUUUUGCAAUGUGUAAAUGAAAUGUACUGUAUGAGUGGAUAGUCAGGGACUACAUGUUAUGAAUGCGAAUACAUGGAAAUAGUCAGGGACUAUUAGGGGUAAAUUACCAUAUGAUAAUGAAUGCAAUGUACUAGAUAGGUCAGGGACCUGUUGGUUUGCAUGUGGGUGGGUCGGCGUACCUACUAGUGUGAGUGUGGGGGAACGGCAAUAUAACAGAUAAAUACAGGUCAGGGACCUGGGUUAUAUUGGAAGUAAGAUAAGUUCGCCGAGUGACUGUGGUAUAUUGGGUAUUAAGUCAGAGUACUAAUACCAUGUGUGAAUGACCUAAGGUGUUAAAGAAGUGUCGGGGACACAGUUCAUAUGGAAUAAUUUACCUAGCGUAUGAUAGUACAUUGAAUAUUGCAGUCAGGGACGGAAUAUUCCUAGGGGACCCACAUUGCAGAUUUGAGUGUGUUGAGAAAUAAGGUAGAUUUAUUUUGCUAUUUUAAUUAAUUUACAUGAGUAUACACAUAGACAUAUGUACUAAAAUGUUAUUAGAAAUAGAAAAGGUACUAAAAACGUUGAAGUCCACGUAUGAUUGCAGGUUUGAGUGAUUCGAACUGAUGUACGUUUGUAAGGUUUGAGUGAUUCAACCAUGUAUGUUUGCAGGUUUGAGUGAUUCGAACUGACGUAUGAUUGCAGGUUUGAGUGAUUCAAACUGACAUAUGAUUGCACGUUUGAGUGAUUCAAACUGAUGUAUGUUUGCAGAUUUGAGUGAUUCGAACUGACGUAUGUUUGUAACGUUUGAGUGAUUCAACCAUGUAUGUUUGAAGGUUUGAGAGAGUCGAACCAUAUGAUUGUAGUACAUUAGGUAUUAAGUCGAUGUACUAAUACCAAGUUUGUAUGACCUUCGGGUAAAUAACAGGUGUGAGACCUAGGUUAUGUUUUGAAACGGUAAAGGAGAAGUGCACGGUGUUUACUAGACAGUGGCUAGAUUGAGACACAUUCUAAGGCAGCACACAAUUGAACCUGAUAAUUUCUAUUGUAUUCAAAUUAAAACAAGUAAUUGAAAUACAUUAGACAAUGGCUAGUCAGGAGGCAGAGAAGGUGUUGAAAACAUUGAAAUCAGCAUUAGAGACCAAUGGAGUAAAAAUGGGAACGAUUGGAAGAAACAAGGGGAAAAAUUAUACAGAGAAUGAACAGAAGAGGGCAGUAUCGCCGCGCCCAACGGCUCCCAGUCGAGGGGGAACCUGGUUAGAUAUUGGAGACGCUAAAACGGAAAACAUAUACAACCAAUUCGGAGUAGAUAGAGAGAAUAAGGAGAAUCCUCACUGGGGAAAAGCUUGGACCUUUGAAUUGUCAUAUUUUCUGGGAAUUGUCUCGGUCCUGGAGUUUGCAAAUACAGACAAUUAUAAUAAUAUCCUUGUUGGCGGGGAAACUCAAUCAUUUCAAUAAUGUUAGUGGUUCAGUGGUAAAGUUUUUGCCUUCAACGCGGGAGACUGGGGUUCAUAUCCCAGCCUUGACAUCGAUAGACUAAAAUUAAUUUGGAUUGUAAUUCAAAUAUUUAUAGGUUUUCCCCGGAAAGAUACGGUUGUUAGAGUUUGUUCAAGAUAUGAACUGAAUGUUUUAAUAGGUUGUUUGGGUUGAAUUGAGAGACUAUCUCAUUCAAAAUAAUGGCGAGGCAAUUUAUAUGUAGUACGUUGUGUUUCCCAAAUAAUCUGCUGGAAUAAUUAUUGAGACUGGAGUCGUAUUUAAAUAAAUGUAUCAUAGAAGAGAAAGUUACCUAAACCUGAUGAAUUCUAAGGAAUAACGGAGAGAUACGAUAAAGUUUUGUGCCCAUCAGGAUGUUAUAUUUUUUAUGAAUUGACUGACAUACGAUAUAAAUUUAGCAAAGUACAUGGUACGUUUCAAUUUUGGGGUAUAGAAAGUUGGGAAGUUCGGUUGGUUUUACUUUUUCGAUAGAAUUUAAAGCAGAACUCAAUCUGAAUAGGGGAUAUAUCUUUGACUAGAGGCAGGUUGAUUUACUGCGUCAUUACAUUGAAUACACAAUAACGUUCCUCAAAUUAUGACAGAGAAAAUUUGGUUGUGUCAUUUAGAGGGAAAACGUGUGCAUUAUAGCUUUGAGUCACUUUUCAAAAGUGGCUAAAGGUUCCAAAUAAUUUUUUAAAAAGUAGCUGAAUAUCGUCAGGAUAGUCUGAAAACAUGCUAAAAAUAGCAACAAAAUUGCUAGGCGUUUCAUUGGGCUAUAUUUGGCUAUAAGAGGGGGAGGUCGUAAAAAGUUGUGGUAGUUCCCGGUUAUUGAUUUUUGGUUUGAUUGUUUAGGUAACACCAGAGAAUUUGAACACGAAGUUAACGUAUUCUAAACAUUAUCUGUAAACAUGACCUGUUUUCAUUAUGGGGAACAAUGAAAGGCCCGCAAAGUGGUAUUGCUGGCUGGGAGUGUUUUAUUUUAAAGGGACAGUGCACGUUUAUCACAGUUGUGUGAGUGUAAUGGCAGGGUAAAAAGCAUUUUGGGGAGACAAUUUGGAGAAAGACUGAAUGAGUUACAUGAAACAUCGAGGAAAUUUAAAACGAUUGAUUUGAGGGUAUUAUUAUAAUUAUUAGGUUUUAUUUGUAGUAAAUGUUUUGGGUUUAAGGGGAUUUCCAUGUUCCCAGAGACAAGAUAUCUUAAAGGGGUACACUCACAUAUGGAAUAUUAGGAGUUUUAUUUUCUGGGUUUUAAUUAAACACGUGAAUUCUUUAGAUAAAGGGUUCUUUAAUAUGUCUAAUAUAGUAUGGAACACGACUGUAAAAGGUUGGUACAACCUUUGACCACUAUCACGGCUUUCCCUUGUGGUCAUAUCAGCCUCAGGGGAUGGCCAUUUGGAUAAUGAAUUUGUGGUCAUUUGUGAUACUGAUUUCAAGGUAAAUUAAUUAUGAUGGAGUUUAUAGCUCUUGGACAUAAUUGUAGUUUGAACCACAGAGGAGAAAGUGGAAUUGAGACAGGACAAAUUAUGGGGAGCGGGGGAAUAGACUCUAGUGAGGAUAAGAAAGAGGUUCAGGAUUCUGUCGUAAACACUGUGAAGGUUUCGAAUUGGCUACUAUUGAUUUGGUAUUACAACAGGAACAGAAAUCCUACUUAUCAUCGAUAAUAAAUAGGGGAAGACAUGGUACAUUGAGGUUUGGACAGGACAAAUUUUAAGCAAAUAGGGCAGGAAAAUACAUAGAUAGAAAAAUAGUGAUUUUAUAAGCAUUCAAAUUAUUUCUGAAAAGAAAUAAGUUGCAGUUCUUAGGGAUGGUAAAUUACUGUAGAUAAGGUAUCCCACACUAUGCAACAUAUAUUAAAUUCUUGAUGAGACUGAUUUUAAGGUUAACCCAUGUUAUUGUUAGAUAAAAUACAGUGGACUCCUGAAGAGAGCUCAUUAGUACAGAAAGGAUAUGAUAUGGUUAGCAUUCGUUUGGCUUUAUUUGAUCAUUAGAAUAUUUUUUAUUUAAAUAGUAUAAAGUGGACAGGGACAUAUGACAUCUGUGGUGAUUCAGGAUUAUUGAUAGGAUCGAGAUGACCUUAAUUAACCUAUGUAAGGACUUUAGAAAUUGCCACCAUAGACCAUGUUUUUCCCAAAAAUCCAUGAGUUUAGAUAAAGCCAAACAGUGAGGCAUUUAGUUAAUAUUUGGAAACAACACAUAGUUGUUACUGACUGUUAUGAGAAAAAGAGCUACAGACAGAUAGGGGAAAAGGCAGACGGAGGAGCCCUCCCCGCACAGCUGAGACCUUGAAGGUUUGAGAGCAGAGAGGAGAAGGGGAGCCAGGAAAUGAGCAAGAUAGGCGUGACAUAGAAUGGGUAGAUAACUGUUACUGAGUGGAGUAAAAAGGGGAAUGAAUGCUUAGUUGGUUUCAGGAACUAAGGUGUUAAACACAGAAACAUUGCCCAGAAAUUAUUCUGCACAAUCAGGCCGAAAUAGUAGCAUCAACUAGUGUCUGUGAAAUAAGAAAUGAAAGAAAGGUUACUGUUUAAACAGACAAACACAUCUACAGGAAGAACAUACAAAGCAGCACAGAUAACUCUUAAAGUAGAUAAGACACUUGACAAAGAAUUGAUACAGGAUAGACAUGAAUGGACGCCCGAGGGAGAAUUGGACAUGUGGAGAAUGAAAGGGGCGCUCCUACAUGAUAAUGUCAGACAAGGAUAAUUUACUAAUCUUACCUAAGUCAUUGUUUAGAUAUUGCCACAAAGUUGUUACCUGGGCAGAGCCAGGUAUCAAAAGGGAGAUGGGUAAGUUGUGGUCUAGGAUAGGACACUUUGUGGCCUAUUGGAUAAUAAACUAAUAAAUAAAUACAAUUCUAGCUAACAAGUAGGCAUAGAAGUUGAAGAUAUAAUCAGAUAGAACAAAUGAGAAACUGUUUGUUAACCAAACCUGUAUGUCCAAGAUUUUAUGCACUACAGGUGAAUUACAGGAGAAGGUGAUUCACUCAAUCCAGCCCCUGGGGAGAAUAGACGGGAAGCAGCCCCGUUGGGAGGGGCUAUACCAAGUACUCCUGGUGACAGCCUUCGCGGUGAGAAUAGCUGAUAGAGUUACCUGGGUUCAUAUCACACACUGCAAAAGGGACUCUGGAGAAAUCGAUGACACAACAGAUGGUGAGAUACGGACCGAUUCCAAGCUCUGACCAGUGGAAUGAUGAAUACAUGCCCCCAGACCAAGCGGAUGGAUCCGGCUCCUUCACAUACGAGGAGCCUGAGUUGGAUGGGGCCAUUUUUGAUGUUUAGGCAUUUUAGGUUGUUUCUUGUUUUGAUGUUUAGACUGUUUCUUUGAUGAAGAUUAUAACGAAAAUCCUGAUAAGAAGAGUUAUGAUUCUGAUGUAGGCCUAGAACAGUCAAUGUAAUACAUAUGUUGGUCUUUGUUCGGUUGUAUUUGGAUAACAAGAGAUAGUUCUAAUAAAAAUAGAUGUGUGCUUUUUAAUAUUUUAAUAAAAAUAGAUGUGUGCUUUUUAACAUUCUAAUAAAAAUAGAGGUGUGAUUGGAUGUAUAAUAUUUAAUCAUAGGGUGGAUAUGUUAUGGGAUUUUUAUGAAUAAUGACUAAAUUAUGUAUACAUUUAACUUAGAACUACAACUAAACAGAAUACUACUAUGUUACUAUAUGAAUGUAUGAAUAUUAUUAUAAUCAUAAUACUGAAUAUAAUGUGUGUAGUUUUACUCAAGAAUUAGAACAAGGACUUUCUGUUCCUUGUUAGAAACUAAUGGAGCCAUCGUCAGACCGGCUGGAAUACUGUGUUCCUUACAGGUCAUUCUGUCCCUACCCAGGGAGGGGAGAGACCUUGGGCUUGUAGUAGAGUGUUUAACAGGUGGCAGACAAUGUGAGAAGGCUUGAGAACUAUAUUGCCAUUGUAUCUGAGAGGAGGAGAGACAUUUAUGAUGAAAUGUGAGGUAUAUAAACCAAUGUACAUGGUAUUAUGACCAGAGCUCUCGGGAAUAAAUGCUAUUGAUUAAUUUUGA